rnacentral:sRNA from 1 species
GCUGGGUAUGGAGGCGCUCACCUGUAAUCCCAGUGGCUCGGGAGGCUGAGGCAGGAGGAUUGCAAGUUCAAAGCCAGCCUCAGCAACUUAGUGAGGUGCUAAGCAACUCAGCAAGACCCUGUCUCUA